UACAGAGGUGGCAAGCGUUGUUCGGAAUUACUGGGCGUAAAGGGCGCGUAGGCGGCCAUCUAAGUCAGACGUGAAAUCCCCCGGCUUAACCUGGGAACUGCGUCUGAUACUGGACGGCUAGAGUAUGGGAGAGGGAUGUAGAAUUCCAGGUGUAGCGGUGAAAUGCGUAGAUAUCUGGAGGAACACCGGUGGCGAAAGCGGUUCACUGGCCCGACACUGACACUGAGGUGCGAAAGCUAGGGUAGCAAACGGG
rnacentral:rRNA from 1 species